rnacentral:lncRNA from 1 species
AUUUAUGAUGGAAUUAUCAAAACAUUAACUCCAGGUAAAUAGAGAAUCACCUAUAGUUUAUUCACAAAAGCAAAAAUUAUCUUUAUAAAUUUAAAAAGUGAUAUGCACUUUGUUAAAAUGAUAAUUGGUAAAUUGAGAAAUAUCCAUACAAACAGUGAAAGCCAUCAACACAUUUGCCAUACCAGUACUGACUUACUUCUUUGGAGUGAUACAGUGGACACAGACAGAACUAGAAUCACUCCAAAGAGAAACAUGAACAACACUUACAAAAUACCAGUACCAUCACCUGAAAUUUGCCAUAGAAAAAACUACCCUU